AUGGGGCAUACUGAUAUAUUGAAAUUUCUUAAACGCCUAGAUUGCUUUUCUAAUGCAACUAUAUAUCGUGUACAUAAUUUUAGUAACUAUUCGCUUGCAUCAGCCGACACAAGUUUUUCUAAAUUAAAACUACUUAAGUCAUAUCUACGUUUGACAAUGACACAAGAAAGACUUAGUGGGUUGGCUAGUAUAUCAUUGAAAUGA
rnacentral:rRNA from 1 species